AAAUAAAAAUUCAUUUUGAGCAUUUAAACAGAAAUAACACUUUGGCACGGCGCAGGUGUGUCACCACAGGGGCAAAGCCAAACACAGGCCCUACAGAUAGCUAUGGCUGCACACGGUGGCAGCCAGACCUUCCACCUGAAGAAACAGAAAGCACACUGGAAGAGAAAACGAAGAUACUUUUGGAAUUCUUCUCUCGUGAGGGCUUGUCUGGGAUUGAAAGGGGAGAAGUACAGAAUCUCAUAGAGAUUCUACUGUACUACUUACAGCGCAAGAUGAUAAACACAACACUGGCCCACACACUUGAAUAUCUGAAAUUUCAGUGGCCAUACCUGUUUGUCCCUAGGAGUGUGUGUACACAUUUUGAGAUGUUAACAGACAUCAACAUUUUGAGAGAACUGGAAGCAUCUCUUGAAGGAAAUGGGCGAAAUAUCAUGGAGUUCCUCAAGAAAAACCCUACCAAUAGUGAAGUCAAGGCUGUUUCUGACCCGAAGCAAUACCAGUGUGGCAGCUCCAUAUGUUCUGCUGGUGCCGAUGGCUCACUUCAAACAGCAGAGUGAUGCACUGAUACUGGAAACAGAUGUUUCUGCCUCUGCUGCUGACGUUGAGAGGUCCUUGACUUUGCCUGACAGUCCUCGAUUGAUUGUUCUCGAACUCGCUUCCGCAGGCGAGGCCCACUGCGGCGACGGAACCUCUCCAACCUUCGCUAUCCCUCACUGACCCCCCUGUGACGACUUCACGGUCGCAGGAGGGCUAUGGAACUGCCAGUCUGCUACGCGGAAGGCUGACUUCAUUUCAGCCUACGCAUCCCUCUUCUCUCUACAUUUCCUUGCCCUCACUGAGACCUGGAUCACACCAGGCAACACUGCAACCCCUACAGCCCUCUCCUCCUCCUUCUCCUUCUCUCACGCCCUCCGCCCGUCUGGCCAUGGUGGGGGCACAGGUUUGCUGAUCUCUCCCUCCUGGAAAUUCUCUGUUCUCCCCCUUUCUCACCUCUCCAUCUCUACCUUUGAAUACCACUCUGUCUCAAUCACCUAUCCUGUUAACUUGUACAUUGUUGUUAUCUAUCGCCCUCCAGGGCCCCUGGGAAGCUUCCUCGAUGAGCUCGACACCCUGCUCAGCUCCUUCCCAGAGGAUGGUGUAGAGGGGAGUCAAACUGGGACCCAGAAAAGGCUGGCAUUUGAACGGGCCUGCAGGCUGGGACUCAUCCUGUACUUCAAAGAACCCAGAGCCGUGUGAUAAAACAAUAAGUUACUUGGACUUCCUCGGGAUGAGCAGGCCAUUUGGCUCUCUGGAAUGUUGCCAUCUGGACACAACUAAGAUAAGGGGAACUAGUCUCUUUGUUUAUGGUUGUGGGGGUGUGUGUGUUCGGGCCAUUAAGGGUAAAAAAAGAUCAUCAGGCCUCUGGCAAAAUGGUGGGGCAACUACGCUUUACAGUUCCACAGUGUCCUUAUAUGGGCCCCUCUAUCAUUACACUUUUUAUUUCUUUUCUGGAUCUGGACUCUAAACCAUCUGUUUAUCAUAUUUACAAACCCCGGAAAACCUUACAAACCAUGCACAUGUUUUCAUUAUAUUACUGUAUUAUACCUUAUGUAAUAAUAACAUGGAUUGCAUGUAAAAUGGUUCAACAAAAGGGUAUUUUAAUGACAAAUGCACCAUUAUAUUACAUCCCCUGGACAUGUUUGGUAUUGAC